AGUGAACGCUGGCGGUAGGCCUAACACAUGCAAGUCGAACGGCAGCACAGUAAGAGCUUGCUCUUACGGGUGGCGAGUGGCGGACGGGUGAGGAAUACAUCGGAAUCUACUUUUUCGUGGGGGAUAACGUAGGGAAACUUACGCUAAUACCGCAUACGACCUACGGGUGAAAGCAGGGGAUCUUCGGACCUUGCGCGAUUGAAUGAGCCGAUGUCGGAUUAGCUAGUUGGCGGGGUAAAGGCCCACCAAGGCGACGAUCCGUAGCUGGUCUGAGAGGAUGAUCAGCCACACUGGAGCUGAGACACGGUCCAGACUCCGACGGGAGGCAGAAGUGGGGAAUAUUGGACAAUGGGCGCAAGCCUGAUCCAGCCAUACCGCGUGGGUGAAGAAGGCCUGCGGGUUGUAAAGCCCUUUUGUUGGGAAAGAAAAGCAGCAGGUUAAUACCCCGCUGUUCGGACGGUACCCAAAGAAUAAGCACCGGCUAACUGCGU
rnacentral:rRNA from 1 species